AUGACUUCCAUCGUCUCCAAGCUCGCGCGGGCAGCCGUCGCAACCCACGCCUCUUCCGCACCGAUUGGAUGUACUGCUGGUGGCAGUCGCUCUACGGCCCGGUGUCUCCCUGGGCUCUGGCUGACUGGCGGUACCAUCCGACGCAUGUGUAGAGGCGUCUCUCCUGCAGGAGGUCCCAAUUCAGAAGAAGAGAAAGGCAGACCCAACUCGGAAGAUGCUGUAGAUGCUGCAGCCAUAGAUCCUAUAGAUUAUCUCCAUGUUCAAGAGGAUUUCCUCAAGUCGAAGGAAGCCCUGUGGGCCUUGUAA
rnacentral:rRNA from 1 species